rnacentral:rRNA from 1 species
UACAUGGGGUGCAAACGUUGCUCGGAAUUAUUGGGCGUAAAGCGCACGUAGGCGGUUCGUUAAGUCGGAUGUGAAAGCCCUCGGCUCAACUGAGGAAGUGCACCCGAAACUGGCGAGCUUGAGUACGAAAGAGGAUCGCGGAAUUCCCGGUGUAGAGGUGAAAUUCGUAGAUAUCGGGAGGAACACCGGUGGCGAAGGCGGGUCUCUGGGCCGAUACUGACGCUGAGGAGCGAAAGCGUGGGGAGCGUACAGG